rnacentral:rRNA from 1 species
GAUGAACGCUGGCGGCGUGCCUAAUACAUGCAAGUCGAGCGAACAGACGAGGAGCUUGCUCCUCUGACGUUAGCGGCGGACGGGUGAGUAACACGUGGAUAACCUACCUAUAAGACUGGGAUAACUUCGGGAAACCGGAGCUAAUACCGGAUAAUAUAUUGAACCGCAUGGUUCAAUAGUGAAAGACGGUUUUGCUGUCACUUAUAGUUGGAUCCGCGCCGCAUUAGCUAGUUGGUAAGGUAACGGCUUACCAAGGCAACGAUGCGUAGCCGACCUGAGAGGGUGAUCGGCCGCACUGGAACUGAAACACGGUCCAGACUCCUACGGGAGGCAACAGUAGGGAAUCGUCAGCAAUGGGGGAAAGCCUGACGGAGCACCGCCGCGUGAGUGAUGAAGGUUUUCGGAUCUUAAAACUCUGUUAUUAGGGAAGAACAAAUGUGUAAGUAACUAUGCACGUCUUGACGGUACCUAAUCAGAAAGCCACGGCUAACUACGUG